rnacentral:rRNA from 1 species
AUGGCAGAGUUAGCGACCAGUGUUGCAGCAGGGGUGAUAUGCUCCCUUCUUGAGAAGCUUGGUUCUCUGGCAGCGGCAGAGUAUGCAAUGUUCACCAGCGACCGCAGAGAGGUGGAACUACUGGUGGAUGAGCUCAGCUCUAUGAAGGCUGUUCUUGAGAAGUUGGCCUACAUAGAGAACCUUGAUCCAUUAACCAAGCAAUGGAGGGACCAGGUCAGGGAGUUGACCUACGAUACUGAGGAUUGUAUAGUAAGCUCCAUGCUCCAGGAUCGGCAAGAUGGAGCUAAGGAUUGGUUCAUUUGGAAGAUUUUUCCAUUUUUCAAAGAUCUCAGAGAGGGCUAUAAUUUAUCCAAGCAGAUCAAUCAAAUCAAGGCCGAUGUAGCAGAGCUAAGCGCUCGACGAGAGCGGCUCAAAAUUGACGAAGUCAUCUCUACAUCUUCCCGUGUGUCCAUUGAUCCUCGACUGCAUGUGCUCUAUAAGGAUACCGCCGGCCUUGUUGGAAUUGAUGGACAGAAGGAUAAGCUCAUGGACAUGCUGAAGGAUGACCAGCACCUAAAGGUAGUGUCAAUUGUGGGAUUUGGAGGUUUAGGCAAGACUACACUUGCCAACUUAGUAUACCAUGCUUUACCUACACAACAACACCAUGAAAACAGAUUUGACUGUCAAGCAUUUGUGUCGGUCUCCCAAAGACCUGAUAUCAAUGGGGUUCUUUGUAGCUUGCUCAGAAUGCUUCGGGUAGAUACAACAUCGUCGGAUAAUAGUAAUGUUCAACUCCUUGUCAGCAUGAUCAACCAACAUCUGCAACAUAAAAGGUACCUUAUUGUAAUUGAUGAUUUGUGGAAUGAAUCGGACUGGUAUACUAUCAGAUGUGCUUUCCCAGAGAACAACUCUGGAAGUAGAUUAAUCGUAACUACACGAAUUGAUAGUGUGGCUUUAGAUUGCUGUUCUAAUCGGCGUGAAGAUGUUUAUCCAAUGAAACCUCUCGAAGAACAAUACUCGAGAAGACUUUUUCUUACAAGAAUAUUUGGCUCUCAAGAUGCUUGUCCUGAAUACUUAAAAGAAGCUUCGACUGAGAUAAUAAGGAAAUGUGGUGGUCUACCCCUAGCAAUCAAUGUUGUAUCAGGUUUUUUGGCUAGUAAGAAGACACCAGAGCGGAAGGAGCAUUGGGAGAGGGUACAGAGUUCUUUGGGCACCAUCGACAGAGAGUUCGAACCAAUGAAACAGAUGUCACAAAUCUUAAACCUGAGCUACAUGCAUCUUCCUCAUCAUUUGAGGGCAUGCUUCCUUCAUCUUGGUAUAUAUCCAGAGGACCGGAAGAUCAUGACAGAUGAUUUGGUGAAGCAAUGGGUUGCUGAAGAUUUUGUGCCUUGCUGCCCACAUAGGCGAGAUCGAGAGGAUGUUGCAAGGGGCUAUUUCAAUGAGCUUGUCAACAGGAGCAUCCUCCAACCUGUAGAUAUAGACUACAAGGAUGAGGUGAUGUCAUGUCGAUUACAUGACAUGAUGCUCGAGUUCAUCUUGGACAAAUCCGCGGAUGAGAAUUUCAUUACUGUAAUGGAUAAAUUUGGAGUCCGGAGUGGAGGCACCAGUAAGAUCCGUCGGCUCUCUCUGCAAUCUGACCAAGAGAAUCAUGUCUCGGUACCAGGAGCAAUUACUCUGACACAAGUUCGAUCGCUUGCAACAUUUGGUUAUUCUGGUGAUUCUGUUGACAGGGUAUGCUCAAGGCUAAAGUUUGUUCGAGUCCUAGUGGUUGAAGGACGUGGUAUCACUCUGGACGACAUGGCUGGAGUUUGCCUGCUGCUCCAGCUGAGAUACCUGAAGAUUACUUCUCAUAUGGAUUAUGAGGAUGAUGCAGUACUACUACCUCCUGAAAUUCUGAAUCUACGGUUUCUGGAAACGCUGGAUAUAGCAGAUGUGUAUGAUGCUACCCUUCCAGAAGAAAUAGCUCACUUGUCCAGCUUGCGGCAUCUGCUUCUCCCAUCAGAGGUAGUCUUGCCUGAUGACAUAGGCCGUAUGAAGUCCCUGCGUACCAUACGCAAGUUUGAUAUGUCCCAGAAUUCCGUAGCCUGUAUAAACGGCCUCGGGACCAAUCUCAGAGAUCUUGAACUCUGUUUUGAUACAGACACUUGCUACCCUGGCGAGGGCAAUGUAGCUCUAUGCUCUGCUCUCCAAAAGCUUGCUGGUGAAAACCUUAAACAUCUAGCUAUCGUUUCGGAAGAUAUGUAA